rnacentral:rRNA from 1 species
ACGAGAGGCCCGCAGCAAUGCGGGUAGUAAAGUGGCGCACGGGUGAGUAAUAUGUGAGUAACCUACCCUCGUGUGGGGGAUAACACCGCGAAAGCGGUGCUAAUACCGCAUACGAUCGCAAGGCGAAAGCCGAGUGAUGAAAGGGGGCGACCUUCGGGGCUCCCGCACUUGGAGGGGCUCACAUCCCAUUAGCUAGUUGGUGAGGUAACGGCCCACCAAGGCGAUGAUGGGUCGCUGGUCUGAGAGGACGACCAGCCACACUGGCACUGAAACACGGGCCAGACUCCUACGGGAGGCAGCAGUGAGGAAUCUUGCGCAAUGGGCGAAAGCCUGACGCAGCGAUGCCGCGUGGGGGACGAAGGCCUUCGGGUUGUAAACCCCUUUCGACCGGAAAGAACCGCCAUUGGGUAAAUAAUCCAGUGGCCUGACGAUACCGGGAGAAGAAGCCACGGCUAACUCUGUGCCAGCAGCCGCGGUAAGACAGAGGUGGCGAGCGUUGUUCGGAUUUACUGGGCGUAAAGCGUGCGUAGGCGGUUGUGUGUGUCGGAUGUGAAAUACCGGGACUUCAUCUGGGUGCUGCAUUCGAAACUGCACGACUUGAGGAUAGGAUGGGGAAGCGGAAUUCCCUGGCGUAGCGGUGAAAUGCGUAGAUAUCGGGAAGAACACCGGUGGCGAAAGCGGCUUCCUGG